CAGUAGCCACGGGAACACGGAGGGAGCUAGCGUUGUUCGGAUUUACUGGGCGUAAAGCGCACGUAGGCGGACUUUUAAGUCAGGGGUGAAAUCCCGGGGCUCAACCCCGGAACUGCCUUUGAUACUGGAAGUCUCGAGUAUGGUAGAGGUGAGUGGAAUUCCGAGUGUAGAGGUGAAAUUCGUAGAUAUUCGGAGGAACACCAGUGGCGAAGGCGGCUCACUGGACCAUUACUGACGCUGAGGUGCGAGAGCGUGGGGAGCAAACAGGAUUAGAUACCCCAGUAGUCCCUGUCUCUUAUAC
rnacentral:rRNA from 1 species